UACGGGGGGGGUAAGCGUUGUUCGGAAUUACUGGGCGUAAAGGGCUCGUAGGCGGCCAACUAAGUCAGACGUGAAAUCCCUCAGCUUAACUGGGGAACUGCGUCUGAUACUGGAUGGCUUGGAUUCGGGAGAGGGAUGCGGAAUUCCAGGUGUAGCGGUGAAAUGCGUAGAUAUCUGGAGGAACACCGGUGGCGAAGGCGGCAUCCUGGACCGACAUUGACGCUGAGGAGCGAAAGCGUGGGGAGCAAACAGG
rnacentral:rRNA from 1 species